rnacentral:rRNA from 1 species
UGGGGAAUAUUGCACAAUUGGCGCAAGCCUGAUGCAGCCAUGCCGCGUGUAUGAAGAAGGCCUUCGGGUUGUAAAGUACUUUCAGUCGGGAGGAAGGUGGUAAGGUUAAUAACCUUAUCAAUUGACGUUACCGACAGAAGAAGCACCGGCUAACUCCGUGCCAGCAGCCGCGGUAAUACGGAGGGUGCAAGCGUUAAUCGGAAUUACUGGGCGUAAAGCGCACGCAGGCGGUUUGUUAAGUCAGAUGUGAAAUCCCCGGGCUCAACCUGGGAACUGCAUCUGAUACUGGCAAGCUUGAGUCUCGUAGAGGGGGGUAGAAUUCCAGGUGUAGCGGUGAAAUGCGUAGAGAUCUGGAGGAAUACCGGUGGCGAAGGCGGCCCCCUGGACGAAGACUGACGCUCAGGUGCGAAAGCGUGGGGAGCAAACAGG